rnacentral:rRNA from 1 species
CAGUCGCCACGGUAAUACAGAGGGUGCGAGCGUUAAUCGGAUUUACUGGGCGUAAAGCGUGCGUAGGCGGCUUCUUAAGUCGGAUGUGAAAUCCCUGAGCUUAACUUAGGAAUUGCAUUCGAUACUGGGAAGCUAGAGUAUGGGAGAGGAUGGUAGAAUUCCAGGUGUAGCGGUGAAAUGCGUAGAGAUCUGGAGGAAUACCGAUGGCGAAGGCAGCCAUCUGGCCUAAUACUGACGCUGAGGUACGAAAGCAUGGGGAGCAAACAGGAUUAGAUACCCGUGUAGUCCCUGUCUCUUAUAU